CUUGGAGUUUACUUUCAUUUUGAUCAAACUUUGUGGCGCAGAUGAUUUUCUCCAUCUGAAGGCUUUUUUUUGGGUGUCAGUUACAGUUCACCCCCACAAGAACCAGAGGAAAAAGAAGCUUGAACUGAAGAACUAAGAGUCUUUCCUACACUGACAGGAGAGAGCUGCAGAGGGAAAGUUCAUGGGAAAAAAUUGAAUGAAGGUAGAAAGUGUGUGUGAGCUGAUGUGGAUGUGAA